rnacentral:rRNA from 1 species
CGUGAGUGAAGAAGUAUUUCGGUAUGUAAAGCUCUAUCAGCAGGGAAGAAAAUGACGGUACCUGACUAAGAAGCCCCGGCUAACUACGUGCCAGCAGCCGCGGUAAUACGUAGGGGGCAAGCGUUAUCCGGAUUUACUGGGUGUAAAGGGAGCGUAGACGGCAGCGCAAGUCUGAAGUGAAAUCCCAUGGCUUAACCAUGGAACUGCUUUGGAAACUGUGCAGCUGGAGUGCAGGAGAGGUAAGCGGAAUUCCUAGUGUAGCGGUGAAAUGCGUAGAUAUUAGGAGGAACACCAGUGGCGAAGGCGGCUUACUGGACUGUAACUGACGUUGAGGCUCGAAAGCGUGGGGAGCAAACAGGAUUAGAUACCCUGGUAGUCCAC